rnacentral:rRNA from 1 species
UACGGAGGAUGCGAGCGUUAUCCGGAUUUAUUGGGUUUAAAGGGUGCGUAGGCGGCGAGUUAAGUCAGCGGUAAAAGCCCGGGGCUCAACCCCGGCCCGCCGUUGAAACUGGCGGCCUCGAGUGGGCGAGAAGUAUGCGGAAUGCGUGGUGUAGCGGUGAAAUGCAUAGAUAUCGCGCAGAACUCCGAUUGCGAAGGCAGCGUACCGGCUCCACACUGACGCUGAGGCACGAAAGCGUGGGUAUCGAACAGG